rnacentral:rRNA from 1 species
AUACGGAGGGUGCAAGCGUUGUUCGGAAUCACUGGGCGUAAAGGGCGCGCAGGCGGUUUGGUAAGUCAGAUGUGAAAGCCCAUGGCUCAACCAUGGCAGUGCAUUUGAAACUGUCAGACUUGAGUACUAGAGGGGAAAGUGGAAUUCCCGGUGUAGAGGUGAAAUUCGUAGAUAUCGGGAGGAAUACCGGUGGCGAAGGCGACUUUCUGGCUAGAUACUGACGCUGAGGCGCGAAAGCGUGGGGAGCAAACAGGAUUAGAUACCCCGGUAGUCC